AGGAGCUGUUGUCUGAUGGUGAACCUGGAAGCUUUGCUCUGUUCCCUUAGCCUGCUUAGGGCUGACAUAUGGAUGGUAGAGUGUGGGGGGCCCAAGCAUUAAUGGAUGGAACACCUCUCUUAUGAGGACAGGCUGAAGAGAGCUAGGGCUGUUCACCCUGGAAAAGAGAAGGCUCUGGGAAGACCUGAGAGCAGCCUUUCAGUACCUAAAGGGAGGUUAUAAUAAAGAAGUGGACAGACUCUUUAGCAGUGCUGCUAUGAUAGGACAUGGGGAAAUGGUUUCAAACUAAAGGAGGGGAGAUUUAGAUUGGAUAUAAGGAAGAAUUUUUUUUUACAAUAAGAGUGAUGAGGUACAGAAGCAGGUUGCCCAGAGAGAUGUUCAAGGUCAGGCUGGAUGUGGCUCUGAGCACCUGAUGUAGCUACUGGUCUCCCUGUUCACUGCAGAUGAGUUGAACUAGAAGACUUUUAAGGGUCUCUUCCAAAUCAAAUGAUUCUAGGACUCUAAAUUCCCACACUCACUGCAGUCCCAGAGCAGGGUGUGAGAUUGAGGAAGGAAUGAGGAAAGGUUGAGCAAACUGGGCUUGUGUAGGAUGAAGAAGAGAAGGCUCUGGGGAGACCUCAUUGUGGCCUUCCAGUACUUGAAGGGAACAUAUAAACAGGAGGGGGAAUGGCUGUUUGUGAGGGUGGAUAGUGACAGGACAAGGGGGAAUGGUUUUAAACUGAGACAGGGGAGGUUUACAUUAGAUAGUAGGAGGAAGUUUUUCACACAGAGGGUGGUGACGCACUGGAACAGGUUGCCCAAGGAGGUUGUGGAUGCCCCAUCCCUGGAGGCAUUCAAGGCCAGGCUGGAUGUGGCUCUGGGCAGCUGGGUCUAGUGGUUCUCAACCCUGCUCGUGGCAGGGGGGUUGAAACUAGAUGAUCUUUGAGGUCCUUUUCAGCCCAUGCCAUUCUAUGAUUCUAUGAUUCUAUGUUUUUCCAGGAAGUUUAUCUUGAAUUGACUUUUUUUUCAUCUCAACUUUGCACCUUUAUGUUAAUGAAGCUUGUUUGUGUGG
ensembl:lncRNA